GCAUAUCAAUAAGCGGAGGAAAAGAAACCAACAGGGAUUGCCUCAGUAACGGCGAGUGAAGCGGCAACAGCUCAAAUUUGAAAUCUGGCUCCCUUGGGGGUCCGAAUUGUAAUUUGCAGAGGAUGCCUCGGGUGCGGGUUCCUUCCGAGUUCCCUGGAACGGGACGCCAUAGAGGGUGAGAGCCCCGUCUGGUCGGAAACCCAGCCCAUGUGAGGCUCCCUCGACGAGUCGAGUAGUUUGGGAAUGCUGCUCUAAGGGGAGGUAUACUCCUUCCAAGGCUAAAUACCGGCUAGAGACCGAUAGCGCACAAGUAGAGUGAUCGAAAGAUGAAAAGCACUUUGAAAAGAGAGUCAAAUAGCACGUGAAAUUGCUGAAAGGGAAGCGCUUAUUACCAGACUUGGGUUCGGCGGUUCAACCGGCGCCACGCGCCGGGGCACUCCGCCGGCCCAGGCCAGCAUCAGCUCUCCGUCGGGGGCAAAGGCGUCGGGAAUGUAGCUCCCCCUCGGGGGAGUGUUAUAGCCCGGCGUGUCAUACCCUUCGGGGGGCUGAGGUCCGCGCUCCGCAAGGAUGCUGGCGUAAUGGUAAUCAGUGACCCGUCUUGAAACACGGACC
rnacentral:rRNA from 1 species